rnacentral:pre_miRNA from 1 species
CCUAGACCACUUCCAAUGGUCGUAUGGACUUGAAAUUUGGCAUGGAGGUAGGUCUUUAAGG